rnacentral:rRNA from 1 species
UACGUAGGGGGCAAGCGUUGUCCGGAAUCAUUGGGCGUAAAGAGCGUGUAGGCGGCUCGGUAAGUCCGCUGUGAAAGUCCAGGGCUCAACCCUGGAAUGCCGGUGGAAACUGUCGAGCUAGAGUCCGGAAGAGGCGAGUGGAAUUCCUAGUGUAGCGGUGAAAUGCGCAGAUAUCGGGAGGAACACCAGAGGCGAAGGCGGCGACCUGGAAGGUAACUGACACUGAGCAGCGAAAGCGUGGGGAGCAAACAGG